CCUAAGCCUGAUCUGCAAAAUACAAACAUAUUGGAGACAUCAUUUUAGUUUGAUUACUGACCCCUUUCUGCUCUGUGCAGCCACAGCUCCUGCUUCCCAAACUAGCUCCAGGCAUGCCCUACCUGUAGGAAUUACCUGCACAUCCAGCUGGAGCUCAACCACUUCCAAGCUGGGAGCACUGACAUGGUAAGACAGGGCUGACAUUUUAAAUGGGGAAGAAAAGUGGGUCUUGAAGAGAGGGAUGGUGCCCUUCAUGUUGCCUGACACAGAUUAGUCACACACUCCAGAGGGAGGGGAAAGAUCCCUUUGGGAAAGUCAAGACCAGGUGAGGGUCUUCAAAUUUAUAUACAAGGGGGAAAUCCUGACUGGUAUCAGGGCUUCCUGCAUUCACAAAGAAAGGCCUAGAUUCUCUCCUGACAUUUCUGGCAGCAUAAGCCAACAGACUGGUCAGCAACCAGAACAAAAGGCACAAAUAGCACAAGCAUCAAGUCAAAAGGAGCUCUCAGUAUUCACUCACACUGAAUAUUCCUACCUGUUUUCAGGCUACAGGAUGCAAGGGACCACAGAAAGAUCUAAAACCUGGCCUAAGGAACAACAAAAUUGAGAGAACAACUAGAGGAGCCCAGGACCACUACCUACUUUGGAAGGUUGCUGGAAACAGGGGAACUCCAUUUGUACAAUAUAGGCAAGAAAAGGGAGUCUGUCAGCACCCACUCAUAGUUAACUCAAAUUGUCUUCUGAGGGGACCCACCCUACCACGCUGAAUCCCUAACAGAUGAAGAACAAUGGCAGUUACUCUGCAGAGAUGCCAAUGUUUCCAAAAUUCAACUCCUUUCUAUCAGGAUGAGCAAGAAGUCUCCUGCAUGCUAAUAUCCUGCCAAGGCUGUGAUUCCCCCAUGGUUCUUGCAGGAAAGUACACAGCUCACAAGCACUAUGGUACAGAGAGAGACUUCUUCAGAGCCUAUGUGCCCAGAUCAUGGAGAUUUUUUAAUAAGGAUCAACAUCUGUGAAAGUGGAGCACAAGUUGAACAGACAGAGUGGUCCAUUUGUCUGAAGAAGACAGAAGUAACCAAGUGUUUAUGAUGCUGCACUUUUAGCAGCACUGAACUAAUACUUGAACACUGGACCCUUUUCUGUGACAAAGUACUGACAGCAGAACUACUUCUGUGAGACAUUAUUUAUGUAACUCUUGAAAGAAGUAUAAAUCUAUUUCUCCCUUUAUUAGUGCCCUACCAGCUCCCAUCCUUAAAGGGAAAAGGGGCAGGACUGUGAAAAUACAACUAAUCAGAGUUAAUUUAGGGUUUAAUUUCACAGUCCCAUCACUCUAAAGGAUAAAAGAAAGGGUAAAGCUAAAGAUCCUUUACAUGCACUCUGAGGCUACUCAAUCCCACAUCCCACAUACCACUAGGAAAAGAGACAAACAGCAUGACCUAAAGCAGAACAUAAAGAAAUGAAACCUCCUAUGCGCAUACAAAAGUUAUACAUUGUAGCUGGACAAGUCCUUGUAUCCAAACAACAGAGAUAUCCAAGGACUUCAGUGUGGGGUCAGGGCUCCUCAUGGCGUCCAAGGAUAACGUGCAAAAAGCAGCCAAGGAAAAGACUCUUCCAUAACUCUUUAUGCUCAGAGCAGUCCUUGAGAUCAAUGGCAAUGGCCCCAAAAGGAAAAUACAGAAAAAGGAAUAUGGAUUUCCUCAGAGGAAAGCUCUAGUUCCUGGCAAUCCCCUGAAGUAACAGCUCCCAGCCUGUCACUUGGCUUUCUGUGGAUGCUUACAUGUUGAAUGAUGGCUCCACUGGCUCUUGGACUGGCUACCCUGUCAGCAGGGCAGUAAUAAUAUCAGCAGCAGAGGCCUGCGGAGCUGCUGAACCAACCCAACUGCUCAGCACUGAAAGAGGAACAGGUAUCUAGUUUGCCCCUUGUCUAAGACAAUCCUACCUGGUGAGGGCUUGGAUCUAACUCCAUAAGCUCUCCCAUGCAGAAUUGCUGUAGAUGGACUCAGUGCCAGAACGUGAUGUUCCAAAAGCAAGAAAUGAUCACGACUGAAACUCAGUUGAGUCAGAUUAUUGCAGCAUCUUCCGUCUCAUGAACUACUUGCACACAGAAAUGUUAAGUUUCCUUCUGUACAAAUAGAUUUCUGUGCCUGUUCAAGCUUGCAAGGCUCCAGGACCCAGGCUCCAAGUCAGCCAGGCAAAAUCACAGAGGAAGCACUAGAAGUUCAGCAAGUCCCUUCCACCUCACCUGCACAUUCAGCAAAGGUGAAUAGAAGGUUGAGAGGAAGUGCAUGAGGGAUGUUCACCAAAACAAUCUCAAUCAGCAAAGCUAUGCAUAUCUAACAGACUGCCCUGCUUGUUACUAUUCCACAGGCUGAUCUAGGAGUCUUGGCACCAGUGGAAUAUCAGCACUGUGACAGACAUCCUCACUCUGCAGCACAACUAGCUAAUUGUGCAAGGGGUCUGGCACACUGCAACUCAGCAGGGUCAGAGUGAACCAGAGGGAUGAUACCAACUGACAUUAACCUUGCUACUUGAAGG